ACGAGGCACUACGGUGCUGAAGCAACAAAUGCCCUGCUUCCAGGAAAAGCCUCUAAGCAUCAGGUAACAUCAAAUCGUACCCCAAACCGACACAGGUGGUCAGGUAGAGAAUACCAAGGCGCUUGAGAGAACUCGGGUGAAGGAACUAGGCAAAAUGGUGCCGUAACUUCGGGAGAAGGCACGCUGACACGUAGGUGAAGUGAUUUACUCAUGGAGCUGAAGUCAGUCGAAGAUACCAGCUGGCUGCAACUGUUUAUUAAAAACACAGCACUGUGCAAACACGAAAGUGGACGUAUACGGUGUGACGCCUGCCCGGUGCCGGAAGGUUAAUUGAUGGGGUCAGCGCAAGCGAAGCUCCUGAUCGAAGCCCCGGUAAACGGCGGCCGUAACUAUAACGGUCCUAAGGUAGCGAAAUUCCUUGUCGGGUAAGUUCCGACCUGCACGAAUGGCGUAAUGAUGGCCAGGCUGUCUCCACCCGAGACUCAGUGAAAUUGAACUCGCUGUGAAGAUGCAGUGUACCCGCGGCAAGACGGAAAGACCCCGUGAACCUUUACUAUAGCUUGACACUGAACAUUGAGCCUUGAUGUGUAGGAUAGGUGGGAGGCUUUGAAGUGUGGACGCCAGUCUGCAUGGAGCCGACCUUGAAAUACCACCCUUUAAUGUUUGAUGUUCUAACGUGGACCCGUAAUCCGGGUUGCGGACAGUGUCUGGUGGGUAGUUUGACUGGGGCGGUCUCCUCCUAAAGAGUAACGGAGGAGCACGAAGGUUGGCUAAUCCUGGUCGGACAUCAGGAGGUUAGUGCAAUGGCAUAAGCCAGCUUGACUGCGAGCGUGACGGCGCGAGCAGGUGCGAAAGCAGGUCAUAGUGAUCCGGUGGUUCUGAAUGGAAGGGCCAUCGCUCAACGGAUAAAAGGUACUCCGGGGAUAACAGGCUGAUACCGCCCAAGAGUUCAUAUCGACGGCGGUGUUUGGCACCUCGAUGUCGGCUCAUCACAUCCUGGGGCUGAAGUAGGUCCCAAGGGUAUGGCUGUUCGCCAUUUAAAGUGGUACGCGAGCUGGGUUUAGAACGUCGUGAGACAGUUCGGUCCCUAUCUGCCGUGGGCGCUGGAGAACUGAGGGGGGCUGCUCCUAGUACGAGAGGACCGGAGUGGACGCAUCACUGGUGUUCGGGUUGUCAUGCCAAUGGCACUGCCCGGUAGCUAAAUGCGGAAGAGAUAAGUGCUGAAAGCAUCUAAGCACGAAACUUGCCCCGAGAUGAGUUCUCCCUGAGACUUAGAGUCUCCUGAAGGAACGUUGAAGACGACGACGUUGAUAGGCCGGGUGUGUAAGCGCAGCGAUGCGUUGAGCUAACCGGUACUAAUGAACCGUGAGGCUUAACCUU
rnacentral:rRNA from 1 species